rnacentral:rRNA from 1 species
GACGAACGCUGGCGGCGUGCUUAACACAUGCAAGUCGAACGGAAAGGCCCUGCUUUUGUGGGGUGCUCGAGUGGCGAACGGGUGAGUAACACGUGAGUAACCUGCCCUUGACUUUGGGAUAACUUCAGGAAACUGGGGCUAAUACCGGAUAGGAGCUCCUGCUGCAUGGUGGGGGUUGGAAAGUUUCGGCGGUUGGGGAUGGACUCGCGGCUUAUCAGCUUGUUGGUGGGGUAGUGGCUUACCAAGGCUUUGACGGGUAGCCGGCCUGAGAGGGUGACCGGGCACAUUGGGCCUGAGGUACGGCCCAGACUCCUACGGGAGGCAGCAGGAGGGAAUAUUGCACAAUGGGCGGAAGCCUGAUGCAGAAACGCCGCGUGCGGGAUGACGGCCUUCGGGUUGUAAACCGCUUUCGCCUGUGACGAAGCGUGAGUGACGGUAAUGGGUAAAGAAGCACCGGCUAACUACGUG